UACGUAGGUGGCAAGCGUUGUCCGGAUUUACUGGGCGUAAAGAGCGUGUAGGCGGCCAUACAGGUCCGUUGUGAAAACUGGAGGCUUAACCUCCAGACGUCGAUGGAAACCGUAUGGCUAGAGUCCGGAAGAGGAGAGUGGAAUUCCUGGUGUAGCGGUGAAAUGCGCAGAUAUCAGGAAGAACACCCGUGGCGAAGGCGGCUCUCUGGGACGGUACUGACGCUGAGGAGCGAAAGCGUGGGGAGCGAACAGG
rnacentral:rRNA from 1 species